CAAAACUUUUAACAACGGAUCUCUUGGUUCUGGCAUCGAUGAAGAACGCAGCGAAAUGCGAUAAGUAAUGUGAAUUGCAGAAUUCAGUGAAUCAUCGAAUCUUUGAACGCACAUUGCGCCCGCCAGCAUUCUGGCGGGCAUGCCUGUUCGAGCGUCAU
rnacentral:rRNA from 4 species